AUGAAGGGGCUUCUACAUUGGGAUUUCUCCCCUGGUCAAGCAGUGGAGACACAGGUGCACAAAAGGUUUGGUUCUACCGUUCAUUUCUCCCCUAUCGGAGGUGCAAGAGAAUUCUUCCUAGUGGUGGCUUUUUCUUCUGCCUCCUUUCCUCUCUCAACCGAAUCAGUGGGUCUUGCCCUCCAAUGUUGCAUUGGUGGAUCCUCCUCGGGGUUCAAUGUCAAGCAUCUUGCUGGUCGGCAGUUUCGUUUUUCUGUGGCCUCAAAUAAAGUUGGUCAUUUUGUGUAUGGUCUUAAGGACCGGGUCUGGCCAGAUUUUGUUUGUCAUUUCAAUCUCUAUAGGCACAAUGCCUGGUUUAAUUCUCAUUCAGAUCAAAGUUGGCAUUAUGACCAUGAGCUCUCUGAGUUGUUUUCACGUUCUCCUAUGGCCAUCAAGACAAGGUUUAAGUUCCAGUCUUCUGAGGGUCUCCCACAUAACCAUUCUGCCAUGGAGCUUGCAAAGUUUGGUUUUCUUCCUCCGCAGUCAAGCAGUGUUCUUGGCCAUGAACCAAGCUCUCCAUUGGAUCAAUUGCUAGUUCAUACUGAAAAGGUCAUUUUUGGUAGUUUUCAAUCGGAUAUUUCCUUGCAUGACAAAGAUAAUAAUUUUAUCCGUUUGGGCAACUUCAAAUCAGUCAUUAAGCCUCACAUUCAAAGGCCUCAAUCGACAUUUAUUGGUACUAAUUACCGGUCCUCUUAUUAG
rnacentral:rRNA from 1 species